UUUAAUUAAUAGCUGCGUAAAGACUACGAUUUUGAACCCAAACAAAUCUUUAAAGUGAAUUCUAGAAGAAGAAUAAUGAUAAUAAAAUAGCAGAAAAUGUUUUAAAAUUUGAAAGAAUUAUUUUGGUGAAUGAUUUAAAAUCUGGAUUAAAUUUAAAAAAAAAAUCAAAAUAACACCACUUUAUUGUAAGCCAAGAAUGUAAUUCAUGAUCGAACGAAAACAGCUAUGAAAUUUGAUCGUAAAACCGAAAGAUUGGAGGGAGAUGGUGGCGGCGAGAAACAAAAAUGAAGGAGCAGCAAGCCACGGAGAUGGAGAUGGAGAUGGCGCCGAAAGCUCAGACAGUGGUCCCAUUUUUCAUACUUUCUUGAUACCCUCUCUAAGUGUUCCUCGAUUGAUGUUUGUAUUGUAAUUCAAUACAGGUUUUGAAAUUCAUGUUAACGACAGCCUACAGAAACUUGCUUUAUAGAUUUUUAAUAUCCCCAGGUCGGAUAAUCGAACACAAUAAGUAGGAGAAAUCACAGUGGAUGGAGAAGUUAAUAAGUCACAGUGGAUGGAGAAAUUAACAAGAUCGACAAAUCAAUUGUCUUCUCCGACAAUCAACAUGGUGUUAAAUCUGCAUUUCAGGUCUGUCAUGACAUGUAGAAGAGGUUAAGUUUGAUUUAUUGAGCUAAAAAAUUGCGGGCUUAACAAACUAGUAUAAAUUAUAAAACCAUCCUCUUGAAUAUCGAUGUAUGUUUUUUAAUAGCAAUAAUCAGCAUGCUUUCAGUGAAACAAUUUUUCCCUGUUAUCUCA